rnacentral:rRNA from 1 species
UACGUAGGGUGCAAGCGUUGUCCGGAAUUAUUGGGCGUAAAGAGCUCGUAGGCGGUCUGUCGCGUCUGCUGUGAAAACUCAGGGCUUAACCCUGAGCUUGCAGUGGGUACGGGCAGACUAGAGUGCGGUAGGGGAGACUGGAAUUCCUGGUGUAGCGGUGAAAUGCGCAGAUAUCAGGAGGAACACCGGUGGGCGAAAGGCGGGUCUCUGGGCCGGUAACUGA